rnacentral:rRNA from 1 species
AAUGAACGCUGGCGGCAGGCCUAACACAUGCAAGUCGAGCGGAUGAAGGGAGCUUGCUCCUGGAUUCAGCGGCGGACGGGUGAGUAAUGCCCAGGAAUCUGCCUGGCAGUGGGGGAUAACGUCCGGAAACGGGCGCUAAUAACGCAUACGACCUGAUGGUGAAAGUGGGGGAUCUUCGGACAUCACGCUAUCAGAUGAGCCUAGGUCGGAUUAGCUAGUUGGUGGGGUAAAGGGCUACCAAGGCGACGAUCCGUAACUGGUCUGAGAGGAUGAUCAGUCACACUGGAACUGAGACACGGUCCAGACUCCUACGGGAGGCAGCAGUGGGGAAUAUUGGGCAAUGGGCGAAAGCCUGAUCCAGCCAUGCCGCGUGUGUGAAGAAGGUCUUCGGAUUGUAAAGCACUUUAAGUUGGGAGGAAGGGCAGUAAGUUAAUACCUUGCUGUUUUGACGUUACCAACAGAAUAAGCACCGGCUAACUUCGUG